AUGGGGCUCGGCGGCGGCGCAGAGUCUCUCGCCACCCAGACAGCGGGGACCUUCGGCAAGGCCUUCUCGUACUGCCUCCCGCCGACUCCGGACUCGUCCGGAUUCCUCACUCUCGGUGCAGCAACCUCGGGUUUCGUAGUGAAGACGCCGAUGCUGAGGAGUAGUGAGGUCCCGUCGUACUACGGCGUGCGCCUUCAGGCCAUCAGGGUGGGAGGCAGGCAGCUCAGCAUACCUGCCUCGGUCUUCUCCGCCGGGUCGAUCAUGGACUCCGGCACAAUCAUCACGCGGCUUCCGGCGACGGCGUACUCUGCGCUGUCGUCGGCGUUCAAGGCCGGCAUGAAGCAGUACCCGCCGGCGCAGCCCAUGGGCAUCUUCGACACGUGCUUCGACUUCAGCGGCCAGUCCAGCGUCAGCAUACCGAGCGUCGCACUGGUGUUCUCCGGGGGCGUCGUCGUCGACCUCGCCACCGACGGGAUCAUUCUGGACAGCUGCCUCGCCUUCGCGGCCAACACCGACGACAGCUCCCUCGGCAUCAUCGGCAACGUGCAGCAGCGGACGAUCGAGGUGCUGUACGACGUCGGCGGCGGCGCCGUGGGGUUCAAGGCUGGCGCAUGCUGA
rnacentral:rRNA from 1 species